GUGGGGAAUAUUGGACAAUGGGGGGAACCCUGAUCCAGCCAUGCCGCGUGUGUGAAGAAGGCCUUUUGGUUGUAAAGCACUUUAAGCGAGGAGGAGGCUACCGAGAUUAAUACUCUUGGAUAGUGGACGUUACUCGCAGAAUAAGCACCGGCUAACUCUGUGCCAGCAGCCGCGGUAAUACAGAGGGUGCAAGCGUUAAUCGGAUUUACUGGGCGUAAAGCGCGCGUAGGUGGCCAAUUAAGUCAAAUGUGAAAUCCCCGAGCUUAACUUGGGAAUUGCAUUCGAUACUGGUUGGCUAGAGUAUGGGAGAGGAUGGUAGAAUUCCAGGUGUAGCGGUGAAAUGCGUAGAGAUCUGGAGGAAUACCGAUGGCGAAGGCAGCCAUCUGGCCUAAUACUGACACUGAGGUGCGAAAGCAUGGGGAGCAAACAGGAUUAGAACCCCGGUAGUCC
rnacentral:rRNA from 1 species